CAGCAGCCGCGGUAAUACGAAGGGGGCUAGCGUUGCUCGGAAUGACUGGGCGUAAAGGGCGCGUAGGCGGCGAUCAAAGUCAGGCGUGAAAUUCCUGGGCUCAACCUGGGGGCUGCGCUUGAUACUUGGUUGCUUGAGUGGGGAAGAGGGUCGUGGAAUUCCCAGUGUAGAGGUGAAAUUCGUAGAUAUUGGGAAGAACACCGGUGGCGAAGGCGGCGACCUGGUCCUUGACUGACGCUGAGGCGCGAAAGCGUGGGGAGCAAACAGGAUUAGAUACCCCUGUAGUCCCUGUCUCUUAUAC
rnacentral:rRNA from 1 species